rnacentral:lncRNA from 1 species
GCAAAAUUCCACAUGUGAACAUGGAAACUCUAUGUCGAGUAUAUACACACCUAUUUGGGGCCUCUUCUUUUGCAAUAUUCACAUCUUUUGGACCAAUGAGAUCUCUGAAUUGUGGAAUAAUUCCCUCGCCUGCUCCCUCCUUACUGAUGAUCAAUGUCAUACAUGGACCACUGGAAAGUUAUCAAAAACAUUGUAGUAAGAGAUUGAAGACAUCAGCCCUGGGCGAGCUAAAAGAAAAUCAAAUAUCUCUACUACAUGUGCAUGAAGAUGUGACAUCUACACCAAGGAGAUGCAGCCAGCUAUACAUAUCACAGAGCAUUUUAAGACAGUUUAUGAACAGU